rnacentral:lncRNA from 1 species
ACUUACCUUGUGAGCGCGCCGUUGGAGUCCUCCUUCACUUCGUCUCAAUCGGGGUGGAAAGGGGGAUUUUGGGUUUCGAAACGGUAAGAAAAAGGGGCAGAGAUUUAGGUUUUUUUGUUUGAUGGUUUUAGUCUGAUAAAACACAUCUGUUUUAGGUUUUUUUUUUAGUUUUAUAACUCUCUUUAAACGACGUUGUUUAGGGCAUGCUGCAGUGGCCUCAAAACGACGUCGUUUAAUGGCCUGUACCCGAUGACCCGAC